CCUACGGGUGGCAGCAGUGAGGAAUAUUGGUCAAUGGCCGCAGGGCUGAACCAGCCAAGUCGCGUGAGGGAUGACGGUCCUAUGGAUUGUAAACCUCUUUUGUCAGGGAGCAAAGGGCGCCACGUGUGCCGCUUUGCGAGUACCUGAAGAAAAAGCAUCGGCUAACUCCGUGCCAGCAGCCGCGGUAAUACGGAGGAUGCGAGCGUUAUCCGGAUUUAUUGGGUUUAAGGGGUGCGCAGGCGGAGGUGCAAGUCAGCGGUAAAAUUGCGGGGCUCAACCCCGUACUGCCGUUGAAACUGCAUCCCUUGAGUGCGCGAGAAGUAUGCGGAAUGCGUGGUGUAGCGGUGAAAUGCAUAGAUAUCACGCAGAACUCCGAUUGCGAAGGCAGCAUACCGGAGCGCAACUGACGCUCAUGCACGAAAGCGUGGGUAUCGAACAGGAUUAGAUACCCGGGUAGUC
rnacentral:rRNA from 1 species